CCUACGGGGGGCUGCAGUGGGGAAUAUUGGACAAUGGGGGGAACCCUGAUCCAGCCAUGCCGCGUGUGUGAAGAAGGCCCUCGGGUUGUAAAGCACUUUCAGUGAGGAAGAACGCCUGGUGGUUAAUACCCAUCAGGAAAGACAUCACUCACAGAAGAAGCACCGGCUAACUCCGUGCCAGCAGCCGCGGUAAUACGGAGGGUGCGAGCGUUAAUCGGAAUUACUGGGCGUAAAGCGCGCGUAGGUGGCUUGAUAAGCCGGUUGUGAAAGCCCCGGGCUCAACCUGGGAACGGCAUCCGGAACUGUCAAGCUAGAGUGCAGGAGAGGAAGGUAGAAUUCCCGGUGCAGCGGUGAAAUGCGUAGAGAUCGGGAGGAAUACCAGUGGCGAAGGCGGCCUUCUGGACUGACACUGACACUGAGGUGCGAAAGCGUGGGUAGCAAACAGGAUUAGAUACCCUAGUAGUC
rnacentral:rRNA from 1 species